UUGGUUACCAAACCGUGAACGGCUUUUGGCAUAUAUAUAUAUGCUCUCCGUUCGAUUGGGGGUCGCGUAGCAUUGCAUGUUGUGCACAUUUACUACGCGUCUCUCGAAUUGCAGCACGUUCCGCUCUCCGCACGAACAAGGCCUAAAGUUGCCUUUGCCCUUGCAAGUGCAUUAGGUAGAGCCUUGCGAACGUUUCUAACCAUUUUCAUUCUUAACCU
rnacentral:rRNA from 1 species